rnacentral:misc_RNA from 1 species
GAUUUUUGAGAAGAGAAAAGAAUAGAAACAUACUCACCUGGGACUUUUCCUGGCUGAACAAUCACCUUUCUAUUGUGACAGAGGCAUGACAAGACACAACCCUAACACAAUUUCACCACUUUCAACAACAGUCAUUGUGUUCAAAAUAACAGCAGUGUGGAGUUCUAUUACUCAAGUCAAACAGCUGGCCGUCAUUUAAGGACCAAGGCAGCAAAUGUUCUACAUGCUAGUUCUAGUGCAUUUGUCUGAAAAUCACUGGAACAUGGGUCAUUGUUCACAACAACAGCAUACUUUGAUUCAAAAGUAUCAAGACAACCAGAAAAGUACAAACCGCUCAACUUCAAUCAUCUCAAAUCCUUUAAAAUAGCAACCAAAACCACAAAGACGUGGAAGACAACAGAACACUACCAUUCAGAUGAAUCAAACAAUAACCAAAAUGACACCUACGCAAA